rnacentral:rRNA from 1 species
GACGAACGCUGGCGGCGUGCUUAACACAUGCAAGUCGAACGAAGAGCGAUGGAUGUUUGCUUCUAUCAAUCUUAGUGGCGCGUGGGUGAGUCACGAGUAAUCAACCUGUCCUUCAGAGGGGGACAACAGAAGGAAACGAUUGCUAAUACUGCAUACGCUCUAAUCUCGGCAUCGAGGAUAGAUGAACGGUGGCCUCUACAUGUCUGCCAUCGCUGCAGCAGGGUAUUGCGUCUGUUUAGUUAGUAGGCGUGGAAACGGAGCACCAAGGUGAUGAUCAGUAGUCGGACGGAGAUGAUGGACAGCCACAUUGGGACUGAGACACGGCACAGACUCAUACAGAAGGCAGCAGGACGGAAACUGCCGCAAUGGGCGGGAGUCUGACGGAGCAACGCCGCGGGCGGAAUGACGGCCGUCGGGUUGGGGAUCUCUGUUUAUCGGGAGGAAAGGCCUUCUGGCGAAGAGGGAGAAGGAUUGACGGUACCGGAAUAGAAAGCCACGGCUAACUACGUG